GAUUCGAUGGGCCAUAGCAAUCCUGUGAUUUAUGCAUGGAGGCUGCUUCUCCUCAGCAGCCGCCAUAGCCCGGUCACUGGUACAUGAUUC
ensembl:miRNA